rnacentral:rRNA from 1 species
UGGCUCAGGAUUAACGCUGGCGGCAUGCCUAAUACAUGCAAAUCGAACGAGGUUAGUUUACUAACCUAGUGGUGAACGGGUGAGUAACAAGUAUCCAAUCUGCCCUUAAGAUGGGAAUAACUGACCGAAAGGUUAGCUAAUGCCCAAUAAUAACAUUCUUAUCGCAUGAGAAAAUGUAGAAAGUCGCUUYAAAGCGACGCUUUUGGAUGAGGGUGCUCCGUAUCAGAUAGUUGGUAGGGUAAAAGCCUACCAAGUCAAUGACGCGUAGCUGUACUGAGAGGUAGAACAGCCACAAUGGGACUGAGACACGGCCCAUACUCCUACGGGAGGCAGCAGUAGGGAAUUUUUCACAAUGGGCGCAAGCCUUAUGAAGCAAUGCCGCGUGAACGACGAAGGUCUUAUAGAUUGUAAAGUUCUUUUAUUUGGGAAGAAACGUUAUGAUAGGAAAUGAUCAUAACUUGACUGUACCUUUUGAAUAAGUAUCGGCUAACUAUGUGCCAGCAGCCGCGGUAAUACAUAGGAUGCAAGCGUUAUCCGGAUUUACUGGGCGUAAAACGAGCGCAGGCGGAUCUGCAAGUUUGGUAUUAAAUCUAUGUGCUCAACGCAUAGCUGUAUCAAAAACUGCAAAUCUAGAGUGUAGUAGAGAGUUGGGGAACUCCAUGUGGAGCGGUAAAAUGCGUAGAUAUAUGGAAGAACACCGGCGGCGAAGGCGCCAACUUAGACUAGCACUGACGCUUAGGCUCGAAAGUGUGGGGAUCAAAUAGGAUUAGAUACCCUAGUAGUCCACACUGUAAACGAUCAUCAUUAAAUGUCGGCACGAACGUGUCGGUGUUGUAGCUAACGCAUUAAAUGAUGUGCCUGGGUAGUACAUUCGCAAGAAUGAAACUCAAACGGAAUUGACGGGGACCCGCACAAGUGGUGGAGCAUGUUGCUUAAUUUGACAAUACACGUAAAACCUUACCUAGGUUUGACAUCGAUUGCAAAGCUAUAGAAAUAUAGUAGAGGUUAACAAUCUGACAGGUGGUGCAUGGUUGUCGUCAGCUCGUGUCGUGAGAUGUUGGGUUAAGUCCCGCAACGAGCGCAACCCCUUUCGUUAGUUAUUUUUUUAACGAUACUGCUACUGCAAAGUAGAGGAAGGUGGGGAUGACGUCAAAUCAUCAUGCCCCUUAUAUCUAGGGCUGCAAACGUGCUACAAUGGUUGAGACAAACUGCCGCAAAACCGUAAGGUCGAGCAAAUCAGACAAAAUCAAUCUCAGUUCGGAUAGAGGGCUGCAAUUCGCCCUCUUGAAGUUGGAAUCACUAGUAAUCGCGAAUCAGACAUGUCGCGGUGAAUACGUUCUCGGGUCUUGUACACACCGCCCGUCAAACUAUGGGAGCUGAUAAUAUCUGAAACCGUACUGUUAACCGCAAGGAGGCAUACGUCUAGGGUAGGAUUGGUGACUGGAGUUAAGUCGUAACAAGGUAUCCCUACGAGAACGUGGGGAUGGAUCACCUCCUUUCUUCGGAGUAAUUUUUAUAAUUACACAAUCAAGUGUACGAAAUCACAAACAAAAUCCAUGAUGAUUAGCCGCUUAUAUUUUUAACAAAUCGUUAUGGUCGGAUUCUAUUUAGUUUUGAGAGAUUAUGUCUCUCCAUAUAUUUAUUUUUU